rnacentral:rRNA from 1 species
AGCUAGUUGGUGGGGUAAAGGCCUACCAAGGCGACGAUCCGUAGCUGGUCUGAGAGGAUGAUCAGCCACACCGGGACUGAGACACGGCCCGGACUCCUACGGGAGGCAGCAGUGGGGAAUAUUGGACAAUGGGGGCAACCCUGAUCCAGCCAUGCCGCGUGUGUGAAGAAGGCUUUCGGGUUGUAAAGCACUUUCAGUGGGGAGGAAAUGGUCACGGUUAAUAGCGGUGAUUUUUGACGUUACCCACAGAAGAAGCACCGGCUAACUCCGUGCCAGCAGCCGCGGUAAUACGGAGGGUGCAAGCGUUAAUCGGAAUUACUGGGCGUAAAGCGCGCGUAGGCGGUCUGGUCAGUUGGGUGUGAAAUCCCCGGGCUUAACCUGGGAACUGCAUCCAAUACUGCCAGGCUGGAGUAUGGGAGAGGGUAGUGGAAUUCCACGUGUAGCGGUGAAAUGCGUAGAUAUGUGGAGGAACACCCGUGGCGAAGGCGACUGCCUGGCCCAAUACUGACGCUGAGGUGCGAAAGCGUGGGUAGCGAACAGGAUUAGAUACCCUGGUAGUCCACGCUGUAAACGAUGUCAACUAGCCGUUGGAGGACUUGAUCUUUUAGUGGCGCAGCUAACGCGAUAAGUUGACCGCCUGGGGAGUACGGCCGCAAGGUUAAUACUCAAAUGAAUUGACGGGGGCCCGCACAAGCGGUGGAGCAUGUGGUUUAAUUCGAGCAACGCGAAGAACCUUACCAGGUCUUGACAUCCUGAGAAUCCUGUAGAGAUACGGGAGUGCCUUCGGGAAUUCAGUGACAGGUGCUGCAUGGCUGUCGUCAGCUCGUGUCGUGAGAUGUUGGGUUAAGUCCCGUAACGAGCGCAACCCUUGUCCUUAGUUGCUAGCAGGUGAUGCUGAGAACUCUAAGGAGACUGCCGGUGACAAACCGCAGGAAGGUGGGGACGACGUCAAGUCAUCAUGGCCCUUACGACCUGGGCUACACACGUGCUACAAUGGCCGGUACAAAGGGCAGCAAAGCGGUGACGUGGAGCCAAUCCCAUAAAACCGGUCGUAGUCCGGAUUGGAGUCUGCAACUCGACUCCAUGAAGUCGGAAUCGCUAGUAAUCGUGAAUCAGAAUGUCACGGUGAAUACGUUCCCGGGCCUUGUACGCACCGCCCGUCACACCAUGGGAGUGGGUUGCACCAGAAGUGGCUAGUCUAACCUUCGGGGGGACGGUCACCACGGUGUGGUUCAUGACUGGGGUGAAGUCGUAACAAGGCAGCCCUAGGGGAACCUGGGGCUG